rnacentral:tRNA from 1 species
CGAUUAGCUCAGUUGGUAGAGCGCGUCAUUGACGUUGAUGAGGUCAGAGGUUCAACUCCUCUAUCG